rnacentral:rRNA from 1 species
ACGUAGGGGGCAAGCGUUGUCCGGAUUUAUUGGGCGUAAAGCGCUCGCAGGUGGUUCAUUGCGUCGUGCGUGAAAGACCCCGGCUCAACUGGGGAGGGUCGUGCGAAACGGGUGAACUAGAGGCCAGUAGGGGGAUGUGGAAUUCCGGGUGUAGUGGUGGAAUGCGUAGAGAUCCGGAGGAACACCAGCGGCGAAGGCGGCAUCCUGGACUGGUACUGACACUCAGGAGCGAAAGCGUGGGGAGCGAUCCGGAUUAGAUACCCGGGUAGUCCACGCUGUAAACGAUGAGUACUAGGUGUUGGGGGUAUCGACCCCCUCAGUGCCGAAGCUAACGCGAUAAGUACUCCGCCUGGGGACUACGGCCGCAAGGCUA